rnacentral:rRNA from 1 species
ACGGCAUCACGAGGGUCGCACNGUCUCCCUUCUCUAAUCAGUGAAACUGAUCUCCCCGUGAAGAAGCGGGGAUAAAGCUAUAAGACGAGAAGACCCCAUGGAGCUUUAGACCUCCAGCAACUAAACUAUAUACCCCCCCUCAUCACAAAGUCAUGCUUAACAGUCUUAGGCUGGGGCGGCCACGGAGUAAAAAAUAACCUCCAUGACGAAAAGAACUAAAUCCUUAUCUAUGAGUUACCACUCUAAGAAUUAGAACACUAACGUACAUGACCCGAUAAACGACCAACGAACCUAGUUACCCUGGGGAUAACAGCGCAAUCUACUUCAAGAGCUCAUAUCGACAAGUAGGCUUACGACCUCGAUGUUGGAUCAGGGUAUCCUAGUGGUGCAGUCGCUGCUGACGGUUCGUUUGUUCAACGAUUAAAACC